rnacentral:lncRNA from 1 species
GUAGUCUUUAAAACAUAAAUGGAAAGGCAAAAGAAUCACUCACUGAAAACUGCAUCAAAUGAAAGUGUCCCUGGCCUGAGCCUGUUUCCUGGCAUGUGGGGUCAUCACAGAGAGGUAGCACCAGCCAGGCCGAAUGCCAAGAGGAAAACUUUCACGCAUUUGCUGCAGCAAGAGAAAGCUGACUAGCACCCUGGCAUAUAAGGCAAUUUUCAACAUACUCUCUUCUUCAAAAAAGAUC